GAGGAUGCUGUGGUCUCCUAUGAGAAACUCCACCCCGGUGCAUGCUGGGAUGAUGCUGUGGUUUCCUAUGAGAAACUCCGCCCUGGUGCUUGCUGGGAGGAUCCUGUGAUCUGAUAUGAGAAACUUCACCCCAGUGCUUGCUGGGAGGAUGCCGUGGUCUCCUAUGAGAAACUCUACCCCAGUGCAUGCUGGGAGGAUACUGUGGUCUCCUAUGAGAAACUCCACCCCGGUGCAUGCUGGGAGGAUGCUGUUUGUGGCGACUGUGUGUUACCAUGGUGAUGGCUGGUUGGAGGGAGACUGUUGCCAUCUUCUGAGCCUGGGAAGCACACACAUCCAGACGCCAGCCGACAAAACCUAUCAUCGUUGCCAGAGUCAUGUGGGUCCUGGACUAACACCCCACCCCAGUGAGCCUCGCGAAGACGGUGGAAAAGGGGGAGGAGAGGGAUGACGGCUGUUAUCGGUUGGGGGUCAGAGAAGGGUAGGGGUGUGGGAUGAAUCCUUUUACAGAUGCAGCUUAUCCGUAGUUUAGAGCUAAGAAUGUGAAGAGUACAGACACAGCCGGACCUCCCCUGAGCUGGGCCUUUGGGGAGCAGGGUGGUGUGCCCCACCGUGGCCACCAGGGGGCGCUGCUGGGGCGUGGAGGCAUUGGUGGGGCGGCGCUUCGGCGACUGCCCUCGCUCUGCUCAGUGCCAGCUCUGUCCCCGCCUGCCCCCCAUGCCCACCUGCUCCUGGGGGGGCACCCUGGCGCCACAUAUCCCUCCUUAUUACAUUUCUGCACCUCCAGCCAGUCGCCCCACCCACCCCCAAGAGCCACGGACCCGGCUGGACUGGUCACGUCCAAGGACUUCUGUGGCUCUGAUUUGGAUACCUUGGGGUAGCUCUGCCCCACUCUGCUGGCACAUUAUGAGGGGGAUGCUGUGUGAGUUAAACAUUUUCCCCUGUUUUUUUAAGAAAAGGGACACACAGCAGCCCAUUGUUGUUUGUCUGCUUAUUGUGGUCGAGUCUGUCCACUCUUGUGAUGGCCCCUGAGUACCUGCUGUGUGCUGCCGCCGGUGGCACCAAGAUGCUCUGUGAGGUGCAGGGCCCCGUCUCUGGGGCUCACGGUCUCCUCCGUGAAAUGGGGCAGCUGCACUGAGCUCCCCCACGUGCCGUGCGCCUCCACUCACUGAGGCCUGCAGGGGGUUGGCACACACGGUCUCCAGGUUGCCCUAGGUCCCCUCGUCUCUGGACCACUCACCCCUCAGGGCUGUGUGCGCCUUUU
rnacentral:lncRNA from 1 species